CUGAAGAUGUGCACACUGAUGCUCAGAGAGAUCGGGUUACACACCCAAGUCACCCAGCAAAUGGAGUUCUCGUCCUCUUUCAGUUGAGAAGAGCUUUUGCCAAGUUGUGCUGACUACUGGCGGGGAAACCACCCACCAAGAGAACCAGUGUUUUUCCGGCAGCAUACCUAACAGAUCCAUGGCCACGGCAGGAGGCUGCUCCCAUGCCGGAGAAUGGGAGGAAAUCCUGAAGAUCACAGAAAAGGUUGGGAGACCUGACC